UACGUAGGGUGCGAGCGUUGUCCGGAAUUAUUGGGCGUAAAGAGCUCGUAGGCGGUUUGUCGCGUCGGCCGUGAAAAUCCGGGGCUCAACCCCGGACUUGCGGUGGGUACGGGCAGACUAGAGUGUGGUAGGGGAGACUGGAAUUCCUGGUGUAGCGGUGAAAUGCGCAGAUAUCAGGAGGAACACCGAUGGCGAAGGCAGGUCUCUGGGCCACUACUGACGCUGAGAAGCGAAAGCGUGGGGGAGCGAACAGG
rnacentral:rRNA from 1 species